rnacentral:lncRNA from 1 species
CGGGGACCGAGGCAGAGGAGGAGCGCGGCAGCGGCGGAGGCGAUCCCGCGAAUUCCUUCCAGUAAACACCUCCUGGGGGUGUCCGGAGGGCUGGGGGUGGGCGCCGCGGCGCCUACAUUAGCCCGGCCGGGCUGCGCCCAGGCGGCAGUCGGGUCGGAGCCGCCGCCGGACUCAGCGCCCCGCGCGCCCCGCGCUGCGCCCCGCGCCCGGCUCUGCGCGAUCGGCUCCCCGGCGUCGGAGGCGCGCCCGCCCGCCCGCUCGGCUCUCCGGCCGCCCUCCCCCGGGCUCCUCCGUCUCCGAGGAGCCCCGGGCGCUGCGGGGCCGCUCUCCGCCGCGGUGCCCCGCUCCCCCGCCUGCUUGCGGGGCGCGUGGGCUCGGCGGAGGUGGAGAGGGGGAGGCAGGCGGGGAGAAGAGGCGGGGGCCGCGGCGGCCGGAGCCCAGAGGAAAGUGGCAUGCCCGAGCCCUGGAGGCGGAGGUGGCGGAGGCGGCCGCGGGGAGACGAUGCCGCGGCUCCGUAGGGGAGGAAGGCGAGAGCGAGCCAGGCGAGCCGGGCGCCCGGGCGCCCGCCGGCUGCGGGGAGACGCGUGUCGCUCCGAGGGUCCGGCCUCCGCACCCCCGCGCCCCGACGCUGCGGGCGACAGGGCCGGGCUCCGGCAGCCGCCGCCGUCGCCGCCGCCGCCGCCGCCACCUGGAGGACGGAGCAAAAGUUUGGAUUUGGGGAAGGACGCGGCGCCGAGCGGAAUUCCUACCGGGGCCGCCAGGAGACCUCCAAAACCUUCGCAGGUUCUUGCUCCUUGUUUAUUUUGUCUUGGGCACUUUAUUUCUUGAUGGUGAUAUCUGAGGAGCAAGGGCCCUCCAGAGAGGAGAAAAGAAGACUAGAAAUCACAGAACCUUAGUCGCUCUACCUUCACAAAGUAGGACCCGCCCUUGUCCUCACGAUUUGCACACUGAAUGGAGCAAAGCACGUGCAAAGGGUACAACACAUUCUAAACGUGCGUGAUUUAACGUGGUCGUGGCAGGGACAGAAAAGUCGGACUUCAGGGACUUCAGGUCCUUCUUGUUGGCCAAGAGACAGCCCUAACACCUUGCCGCUUUUAUGGUGGAUAAUCGAUUGAUGGACAGAGAGGACUUGCUUGCCGGUGAGGCGGGUAUAUGUACAUAGAAACAUAUCUGGUCCCUCUUCCCCCCUUUUUAAGCAAAAUUUUCAGUGGCCGACAAGAUUAGAAGAUUGUGGAGCACAUUUUCAUAUGCCCCCGCUUUAGCCUUUGGUUCCCCCUGGGCCAUUUCUAGACUGGCAACACUUUGAAUGCUGCCUUUGCCCAGGGAUUUUGCAGAGUUAAUUUAUGGGGCUGUUUAGAAAAAAAUACCCUUUCCUGAUUCUUGAAUCAUGCUGGGUGUCAGUAAGGCCACGUUCUCAUUUAGGGGAAUUAGUAAUAAUAGUAAUAGUAGUGAUAGUUAACAGUGGUAAUGGUAAUGGAAUUUGUUUAGGGUGCUGCUUAUGCAGUUCAUGUAUAUUAUCAUGUUUAAAUAUUCACGAAAAUCCUGGAUAAGUAGUUCUGUUUUAGAAAUUCCACUAGUAACUCCAUUUUAUGAAGCUCUAAUACUUUGGGUACAACGAGCUGACUCAUUGGAAAAGACCCUGAUGCUGGGAAAGAUUGAGGGCAGUAGGGGAAGGGGAUGACAGAGGAUGAGAGGGUUGCAUGCCGUCACUGACUCAAUGGAUGUGAAUUUGAGCAAACUCUGGGAAAGAGUGAAGGAUAGGGAGGCCUGGUGUGUGGCAGUCCAUGGGGUUGC